GAUGGACUGCCUUUUGCAUAAUGAGCCUGCGAGUUGUGGUGUCUGGCGAGGUUAAGGAAACCCGGAGCCGUAGCGAAAGCGAGUCUUAAUAGGGCGAUUAGUCAGAUGCUGCAGACCCGAAACGAUGUGAUCUAUCCAUGAGCAGGUUGAAGCCGGUGUAAGAGCCGGUGGAGGACCCAACCGACGGCCGUUGAAAAGGCUCCGGAUGACUUGUGGAUAGGGGUGAAAGGCCAAUCAAACAUCGUGAUAGCUGGUUCUCUCCGAAAUAUAUUGAGGUAUAGCGUCGUGUAGUAGUUAUAAGGGGUAGAGCACUGAAUGGGCUAGGGCAUACACCAAUGUACCAAACCCUAUCAAACUCCGAAUACUUAUAGCGUAACCACGGCAGUCAGGCGGCGAGUGAUAAAAUCCGUCGUCAAGAGGGAAACAACCCGGACUAACAGCUAAGGUCCCCAAAUCUCAUUUAAGUGGAAAACGAUGUGAAGUUACUGAAACAACCAGGAGGUUGGCUUAGAAGCAGCCAUCCUUUAAAGAUAGCGUAAUAGCUCACUGGUCUAGUGAUUUUGCGCGGAAAAUAUAACGGGGCUAAAAUGAGUACCGAAGCUUUAGAUAGUGUCUAUGAUUAUUUAUACUAGCUUGUCUCUUUGGCAUCUUUAAAUGAGCUUCAUUUUUUCUCCUGCGGCAACCUACACGGUUAGCCUUAGUCGAAAAAAUAUCAGCAACAUUUAAAUCUGCUCAAAGAUACUUCGCUUCUUGCAUUCAAAUUUAAAUGCAAUGUCUUAAUCUAAAAUUCUAUAAAUUUCAAAAUUUCUUAGAAUUUCAAAAUUUAGCAACAAAAGCAAAAAGACAAGCCUAAGUAAAGUAUAAAUACUCAUAGACACUGUGGUAGGAGAGCGUUCCAAUCAGCGUUGAAGCCGUACCGGUAAGGAGCGGUGGAGCGGUUGGAAGUGAGCAUGCAGGCAUGAGUAGCGAUAAAAUACGUGAGAAUCGUAUUCGCCGUAAACCCAAGGUUUCCUACGCGAUGCUCGUCAUCGUAGGGUUAGUCGGGUCCUAAGCAAAGUCCGAAAGGGGUAUGCGAUGGAAAAUCGGUUAAUAUUCCGAUACCGAUAUCAGUGUGCGACGGAAGGACGCUUAAAGUUAGUGGAGCUAGCGGAUGGAAGUGCUAGUCUAAGGAAGUAGGUUGAGUUAUAGGCAAAUCCGUAACUCUUUAUCCGAGAUCUGAAAGGCUUCUGACGCUCUUCGGAGUAGAUGAAGAAUCCAUGAUACUAUCGAGCCGAGAAAAGUUUCUAAGUUUAGCUGAUAUCGCCCGUACCGUAAACCGACACAGGUGGGUGGGAUGAGUAUUCUAAGGCGCGUGGAAGAACUCUCUUUAAGGAACUCUGCAAAAUAGCACCGUAUCUUCGGUAUAAGGUGUGCCUAGCUUCGUUAAGAAUUUACUUCGUAAGCGAAGAAGGUUACAACAAAGAGUCCCUCCCGACUGUUUACCAUAAACACAGCACUCUGCUAACUCGUAAGAGGAUGUAUAGGGUGUGACGCCUGCCCGGUGCUCGAAGGUUAAUUGAUGACGUUAGCUUACGCGAAGCGUCUGAUCGAAGCCCGAGUAAACGGCGGCCGUAACUAUAACGGUCCUAAGGUAGCGAAAUUCCUUGUCGGUUAAAUACCGACCUGCAUGAAUGGCGUAACGAGAUGGGAGCUGUCUCAAAGAGGGAUCCAGUGAAAUUGUAGUGGAGGUGAAAAUUCCUCCUACCCGCGGCAAGACGGAAAGACCCCGUGGACCUUUACUAUAGCUUGACACUGCUACUUGGAUAAAGAUGCGCAGGAUAGGUGGGAGGCUUUGAGUCGUAGAUCUCGGUUUACGAUGAGCCAUUGUUGAGAUACCACUCUUCUUUAUUCGGGUAGCUAACUAGCCUAAGUUAUCCUUAGGUAGGACAAUGUCUGGUGGGUAGUUUGACUGGGGCGGUCGCCUCCCAAAAUGUAACGGAGGCUUACAAAGGUUGGCUCAAAGCGGUUGGAAAUCGCUUGCAGAGUAUAAAGGCAAAAGCUAGCUUAACUGCGAGACAUACACGUCGAGCAGAGACGAAAGUCGGUCUUAGUGAUCCGGUGGUUCUGUGUGGAAGGGCCAUCGCUCAAAGGAUAAAAGGUACCCCGGGGAUAACAGGCUGAUCUCCCCCAAGAGCUCACAUCGACGGGGAGGUUUGGCACCUCGAUGUCGGCUCAUCGCAUCCUGGGGCUGGAGCAGGUCCCAAGGGUAUGGCUGUUCGCCAUUUAAAGCGGUACGCGAGCUGGGUUCAGAACGUCGUGAGACAGUUCGGUCCCUAUCUGCCGUGGGCGUAAGAAGAUUGAGGAGAGUUGACCCUAGUACGAGAGGACCGGGUUGAACCGACCACUGGUGUACCGGUUGUUCUGCCAAGAGCACCGCCGGGUAGCUAAGUCGGGAUGCGAUAAGAGCUGAAAGCAUCUAAGCUCGAAGCCGACUCCAAGAUGAAUCUUCUUUUAAGAGCUCUAGUAGACUACUAGUUUGAUAGGCCGGAUGUGUAAUGGAUGAAAGUCCUUUAGCUGACCGGUACUAAUAGCUCGUUUGCUUAUCUU
rnacentral:rRNA from 1 species